GGAUUCUGCCGGUUAUACAUAUUCUAAAAUUGGAACGAUACAGAGAAUAUUAGCAUGGGCCCUGCGCAAGGGUGACACGCAUAAUUUUAUGUACGGUCAGUUUGC